rnacentral:lncRNA from 1 species
CCUCGACCGCCUCACUACCCUCGUUCUCGCUGACUGGAAGGGGGUCACCGGUGAGAUCCCCCAAUGCCUCACCACCCUCUCCAACCUCCGAGUUCUCGAUCUCGUCGGAAACAAGAUUUCGGGCAAGAUUCCGGCCGAUAUCGGCAACCUCAAGAUGCUCAGAGUCCUCAACCUCGCCGAUAACCAGAUCUCCGGUAAGAUUCCGGCGAGUCUCGUUGGCCUCUCCGGGCUAAUGCACAUGGACCUCAGCAACAACCAAAUCACGGGCGAGUUACCGGCCGAUUUCGGAAAACUCAAGAUGCUGAGCCGGGCUCUGCUGAA